rnacentral:rRNA from 1 species
AGCAAUUAUACGGCGAAACUGCGAAUGGCUCAUUAUAUAAGUUAUCGUUUAUUUGAUAGCACUUUUCUACUCGGAUAACUGUGGUAAUUCUAGAGCUAAUACGUGCUGAAAAACCCGACUUCGGAAGGGCUGUAUUUAUUAGAUUAAAAACCAAUGCCCCUCGGGGCUUCUUGGUGAUUCAUGAUAACUUCUCGAAUCGCAUGGCCUUGCGCCGGCGAUGGUUCAUUCAAAUUUCUUCCCUAUCAACUUUCGAUGCGAGGGUAUUGUCCUCGCAUGGUUACAACGGGUAACGGAGGGUUAGGGCUCGACCCCGGAGAAGGAGCCUGAGAAACGGCUACUACAUCCAAGGAAGGCAGCAGGCGCGCAAAUUACCCAAUCCCGAUACGGGGAGGUAGUGACAAUAAAUACUGAUACAGGGCUCUUUUGGGUCUUGUAAUCGGAAUGAGUACAAUUUAAAUCCCUUAACGAGGAACAAUUGGAGGGCAAGUCUGGUGCCAGCAGCCGCGGUAAUUCCAGCUCCAAUAGCGUAUAUUAAAGUUGUUGUGGUUAAAAAGCUCGUAGUUGAACCUUGGGCCUGGCUACAAGGACCGCCUCACCGCGAGAUCUUUCCGUAGCCGGGUCUUUCCCUCUGUGGAACCCCAUGGCCUUCACUGGUCGUGGCGGGGAAACAGGACUUUUACUUUGAAAAAAUUAGAGUGCUCCAGGCAGGCCUAUGCUCGAAUACAUUAGCAUGGAAUAAUAAAAUAGGACGCGUGGUUCUAUUUUGUUGGUUUCUAGGACCGCCGUAAUGAUUAAUAGGGACAGUCGGGGGCAUCAGUAUUCAAUUGUCAGAGGUGAAAUUCUUGGAUCUAUUGAAGACUAACUACUGCGAAAGCAUUUGCCAAGGAUGUUUUCAUUGAUAAGGAACGAAAGUUAGGGGAUCGAAGACGAUCAGAUACCGUCGUAGUCUUAACUAUAAACUAUGCCGACUAGGGAUCGGACGAUGUUAUAUUUUGACUCGUUCGGCACCUUUCGAGAAAUCAAAGU